CCUUCGAUGUCGGCUCUUCCUAUCAUUGCGAAGCAGAAUUCGCCAAGCGUCGGAUUGUUCACCCGCCAACAGGGAACGUGAGCUGGGUUUAGACCGUCGUGAGACAGGUU
rfam:Trichomalopsis sarcophagae strain Alberta scaffold35135, whole genome shotgun sequence.